CCUUAGAAAAUGAGGUGUUGCCUGACUCCAGAGAAUUUGGAGAAAAGCUGCAACAGAAGAUAGGGGAGCAUAUUGUUCAACUCCAACCAAGUUCAGAUGAAUCAGGAGAUCCAAACGGCGAUGCUGUCGAACAAAGAGUGACUCGGAAUCCUUGGCAAAUUGGAAUGUAUCAACAACCAGACGAAGAAGGUGGGCCUAGUGUACCGGAAGAAUCAACUCCACAAUCUCAACUCCGAAGGUCAACAAGAGCACGGAGGCCAAAUCCCAAAUACGCCAAUGCAGCCAUAAUUGAAGAAGCAACUGCAACAGAACCUGAGACGUUCGAAGAAGCAUCACAGAGUUCUGAAAGAAGAGAUCGAUGCACUUCAGCAAAAUCAGACUUGGGAUCUCGUGCCAAAGCCAAGAGAUGUGAAAUCCAUAUCCUGCAAGUGGGUUUACAAGAUAAAGCGCCGUCCAGAUGGGUCAAUCGAGAGGUACAAGGCACGAUAGGUAGCUCGUGGUUUCUCUCAACAGUAUGGACUAGACUAUGAUGAAACGUUUAGUCCAGUGGUGAAACUUACAACAGUACGAGUCUUACUUGCACUUGCAGCCAACAAAGACUGGAAUUUGUGGCAGAUGGAUGUUAAGAAUGCUUUUCUUCAUGGAGAACUGGAUCGGGAGAUCUACAUGAUCCAACCAAUGGGAUUUCAGAGCCAAGAUCAUCCUGAAUAUGUGUGUAAACUGCGGAAAGCACUCUACGGAUUGAAACAAGCACCCAGGGCGUGGUAUGGUAAGAUUGCUGAAUUUCUAACACAAAGUGGUUAUUCAGUAACACCUGCAGAUUCCAGCUUGUUUGUCAAAGCCAAUGAAGGAAAGCUAGCUAUUAUGCUAGUGUAUGUGGAUAACUUAAUCAUAACCGGUGAUGAUGAGGCAGAAAUUCUUCGGACAAAGGAGAAUCUAUCAGUUCGUUUCCAGAUGAAGGAACUUGGACAACUCAAGCACUUCCUUGGUCUAGAGAUUGAUCGCACACAAGAAGGAAUAUUUCUCUGUCAGCAAAAAUAUUCCAAAGAUUUAUUGAAGAAGUUCGGAAUGCUCGAAUGCAAGCCGACUUUGACACCGAUGGAACUAAAUGCCAAAAUGUGUGCACAUGAAGGAAAAGAUUUGGAAGAUGCAACUAUGUAUCGACAAUUGGUAGGUAGUCUGAUCUACUUAACCUUGACUCGACCUGACAUUUCUUAUGCAGUUGGUGUGAUGAGUCGGUACAUGCAAAAUCCAAAGAAGCCUCAUUUGGAAGCAGUUCGACGAAUAUUAAGAUAUGUGAAGAGUACAAUUGACUAUGGUCUUUUGUACAAGAAAGGUGAAGACUGCAAGUUAGUUGGUUACUGUGAUGCUGACUAUGCGGGAGAUCAUGACACCAGGAGAUCAACAACUGGGUAUGUGUUUAAGCUUGGUUCUGGAACCAUCUCUUGGUGUAGCAAGAGACAGCCGACGGUAUCUUUGUCAACCACAGAAGCAGAGUAUAAAGCAGCAGCAAUGACAGCUCAAGAGAAUGCAUGGCUGGUACAGUUGAUGAGUGAUCUACAUCAACCAGUAGAUUAUUCAGUACCAUUGUACUGUGAUAAUCAAUCGGCAAUUCGCUUGGCAGAAAAUCCAGUCUUUCAUGCAAGAACUAAACAUGUGGAGGUACAUUAUCAUUUCAUUAGAGAGAAGGUCUUGCAAGAAGAGAUUGAGAUGAGACAAGUUAAGACGAAUGAUCAAGUUGCGGACUUGUUCACAAAAAGUUUGAGUACAGGUAAGCUCGAAAUUUUUCGCUGUCUGCUCAGCACAGUGCAAAGAAUGAGAGCUGACAUUGAGGGGGAGUGUUGAGAAUCAAUGUCAAAGUUAGGCAAUGUUAGGCAAUGUUAGGCAAUGUUAGUCAAUGUCAAAGUUAGGCAAUGUUAGGCAAUGUUAGGUAUGGUUGUGUGAAAAAAAUAAUUAGGUGCAAUUAAUGUGUUUUGUGUGGUAGUAAAUAAUCUUAGUUUAAUUAAGUAGCUUUCAUUUGGUUUGCUAUAAAUACCCAAGUCCCCAAGCCUUGUAAAUCAUCCAAAGGAAAAACAAAGCUAAGUGCUAAAUAAGAAAAGCUUUGCUAAUUAGUGUUUUUUGUGAGCUUUCUUUAGAGUGUGCUUUAUUUUCUUCUUCUUGGAAUAAUUAGAGUUAUCUUGUAUACUCUUUUUGUUCAACAAGCUUGUGAGUGGUAGAAGGUAUUGCAGAGGGCGGGCGAGGAUAAGAGGGCUGCUAUGGAGGAACAGGAUACGGAUGGUGUUAUGGAAGAAGUAGGGCAGACCUUGGGAGAUAAGUUGCAGCUCACUGAUAGAGAAAAUGAGGGAGUAGUAAUCGAUAGAAAGGAUGUAGAUGAGGCUUUGAUCGGCUCUCACUAUAUGUUAUUGGCAGAGGCGUUGACGGUGCGAGCACUGCAUGGGGAGGCUUUCAUCGAUAGAUUCACGUCAUUGUGGCGUGGGAAUGAAGGUGUCUCGAUUAGGGACAUUGGUGAUGGACGGUUUGAAAUUUUAUGGGAAUGAAAAAGUAAAAAAUUCUCUCUCCGUGAGAGACCUUCCCUCUGUGUGAGGGUUCAUCUCACCGUUCUGUGUGAGUGGUUCCCGAUCGUGUCCAUUUCCGGUGUCGCCGAUCCUAGCUCGGGCUGGGAUCGGUGGGUUUUCAUUUGUUCCUUUCUCCCUCUCUUUUUCCUCUUCUCUCCGCUGUUUUCUUCCCUGGAUUUCUUGGCUGAUCUGCCAUUUUCGCUCCCCUCUGUUGUUUCUCUUCCAUCUGCCUCCUCUUUCCCAGCUUCCGUCAACCUUUACCGCACCUGGUUGCGGCGUUUCGAGUUGGUGUGCUUUGAUCUGGUGCUGGCACUAGGUCGGGUGAUCCUUGCACCCCCACCUUCUCUCUGUUGUCUGCCCUUGUUGGCAGUGUUGCUCGUGGACUGCCAUGAGCUUCUUUCUCUUGGCUGCAGGUUCUCUGGGGUCUGUAGCUGUGCUGGACGUGAAGCUUGGACUUGGA
rnacentral:lncRNA from 1 species